rnacentral:rRNA from 1 species
UACGUAGGCAGCAAGCGUUGUUCGGAAUUACUGGGCGUAAAGAGUGCGUAGGUGGUUGGCUAAGUUUGGUGUGAAAUCUCCCGGCUCAACUGGGAGGGUGCGCCGAAAACUGGUCGGCUAGAGUGUGGGAGAGGGAAGUGGAAUUCCUGGUGUAGCGGUGAAAUGCGUAGAUAUCAGGAGGAACACCUGUGGUGUAGACGGCUUCCUGGACCAUUACUGACACUGAGGCACGAAAGCGUGGGGAGCAAAC